rnacentral:rRNA from 1 species
CGUUGAAAAGUGCUUGGAUGACUUGUGGGUAGCGGAGAAAUUCCAAACGAACUUGGAGAUAGCUGGUUCUCUCCGAAAUAGCUUUAGGGCUAGCGUCGACAUUAAGAUUCUUGGAGGUAGAGCACUGUUUGGGUGAGGGGUCCAUCCCGGAUUACCAAUCUCAGAUAAACUCCGAAUGCCAAUGAAUUAUGGUCGGCAGUCAGACUGCGAGUGCUAAGAUCCGUAGUCGAAAGGGAAACAGCCCAGACCACCAGCUAAGGUCCCAAAAUAAUUGUUAAGUGGAAAAGGAUGUGGGGUUGCACAGACAACUAGGAUGUUAGCUUAGAAGCAGCUAUUCAUUCAAAGAGUGCGUAAUAGCUCACUAGUCGAGUGACCCUGCGCCGAAAAUGUACCGGGGCUAAAACAAUUUACCGAAGCUGUGGAUACCUUUAUAGGUAUGGUAGGAGAGCGUUCUAUGUGUGAAGAAGGUGUACCGUGAGGAGUGCUGGAACGCAUAGAAGUGAGAAUGCCGGUAUGAGUAGCGAAAGACAGGUGAGAAUCCUGUCCACCGUAAGACUAAGGUUUCCAGGGGAAGGCUCGUCCGCCCUGGGUUAGUCGGGACCUAAGGAGAGACCGAAAGGUGUAUCCGAUGGACAACAGGUUGAUAUUCCUGUACUAGAGUAUGUAGUGAUGGAGGGACGCAGUAGGCUAACUAAAGCAGACGAUUGGAAGAGUCUGUCUAAGCAGUGAGGUGUGAUAUGAGUCAAAUGCUUAUAUCUAUAACAUUGAGCUGUGAUGGGGAGCGAAGUUUAGUAGCGAAGUUAGUGACGUCACACUGCCAAGAAAAGCUUCUAGCGUUUAAACAUACUCUACCCGUACCGCAAACCGACACAGGUAGUCGAGGCGAGUAGCCUCAGGUGAGCGAGAGAACUCUCGUUAAGGAACUCGGCAAAAUGACCCCGUAACUUCGGGAGAAGGGGUGCUGACUUUAAGUCAGCCGCAGUGAAUAGGCCCAAGCAACUGUUUAUCAAAAACACAGCUCUCUGCUAAAUCGUAAGAUGAUGUAUAGGGGGUGACGCCUGCCCGGUGCUGGAAGGUUAAGAGGAGUGCUUAGCGUAAGCGAAGGUAUGAAUUGAAGCCCCAGUAAACGGCGGCCGUAACUAUAACGGUCCUAAGGUAGCGAAAUUCCUUGUCGGGUAAGUUCCGACCCGCACGAAAGGCGUAAUGAUUUGGG